GAGACCUGGAACUGGAGCAUGUUGUAGUGCCUCUCCCUCUGCACGCUGCCCGGGAAGUUCCCCUGGAAGAACUGUUCGACGGGAUUCAGGAUGCUGUGUACUAUGCACCACCCUCCCAUGGGCCCCUCAAGAUUAAGCAUCUUGAUAUAGACAAGACAUUUGGGAAGUAGCCAGAGAAGAUGCAUCCUUCCCAAUGGAAGUAAACUUCUCCGUCUGUAUUUACUGGCAGAGAUACGGUCAAUGAAAGAGGAACCAAUCAGAUCAACACCCAGAGCAAGAGGCUCCCAGAGAGAAGAGAUGAAUCUGAUUUACAGAGCCCCAGCCAGAGAACCUAGGAGGGGAGUAGGAAAGAGAAUUUUUCCUCCACUACAGUGGCUGCUGAGCACUUGAAACACGUCAAGUCUGAAUUGACAUGUGCUGUAAGUGUAAAGCACACCCUGGAUUUUGAAGAACAACAACAAAAAAAGGGAUGUAAAAUAUCUCAU